AGCUUUUCCUAUGGUGUGUCUUUUGGCAGAAGUGGAAAUGUUUUGGUUUGGUUAUUUGAGAGUGCAAGACAUUUAAUUUAUAUAUUAAAUGAGCAAGACUGAAUUAUUCUUACUCUCUUCACCUACUUUGUCUGCAGUGUCUAAACAAAGCAGUGUCACUGUGGUUGGUUGUGCUGCACACAGGUACAUAGUAUUAGACACUAGAGAAAGUUCCCUACAUAUACUUUUCCAACACCCCCUUUAGUAGACGCAAUUGAUGGUGCUCAGGUAUUUAACUCUGAGAUAUGCUUGACUGCAGUGCCAGUGGUCUUUGUUUUAGUAGCAGUUCAGUU